rnacentral:rRNA from 1 species
AAGCUCGUAGUUGAAUUUCGGGGUUAGUAGGUUGGUCAUGCCUCUGGUAUGUACUGGUCUCACUGAUUCCUCCUUCCUUAUGAACCGUAAUGCCAUUAAUUUGGUGUUGCGGGGAAUUUGGACUGUUACUUUGAAAAAAUUAGAGUGUUUAAAGCAAGCUAACGCUUGAAUACAUUAGCAUGGAAUAAUGAGAUAGGACGUUCGAUCUUAUUUUGUUUGGUUUUCUAGGAUUGACGUAAUGAUUAAUAGGGAUAGUUGGG